rnacentral:ncRNA from 1 species
UAAAAAUCAAUGAAAAGGAAUAGUAAUUGUCUGUAAUCUUUUAGAGAGCUUGUGGCUGGUGGAAACAAGUAGAGGAAGCAAUGAACUCGCCUUGGAGAUGUAAGGGUGAAUCAAGUAGUCUUUACCGUAUCACUGCGUUAAAGUGUUGAGGGCAUACAAUGAUUGUAUGAACUAAGGUGGUAACGCGAUAAAGUCGUCCUUAGA